AGCAGUAGCCGCGGUAAUGCGGAGGGUGCAAGUGUUAAUCGGAAUUACUGGGCGUAAAGCGCACGCAGGCGGUUUGUUAAGUCAGAUGUGAAAUCCCCGAGCUUAACUUGGGAACUGCAUUUGAAACUGGCAAGCUAGAGUGUGUCAGAGGAUGGUGGAAUUCCCGGUGUAGCGGUGAAAUGCGUAGAGAUCUGGAGGAAUACCGGUGGCGAAGGCGGCCAUCUGGGACAACACUGACGCUGAAGCACGAAAGCGUGGGGAGCAAACAGGAUUAGAUACCCCGGUAGUCCCUGUCUCUUAUAC
rnacentral:rRNA from 1 species